rnacentral:rRNA from 1 species
GAUGAACGCUGGCGGCGUGCUUAACACAUGCAAGUCGAACGGAAAGGCUCCUGCUUGCUGGGGUACUCGAGUGGCGAACGGGUGAGUAACACGUGGGUGAUCUGCCCUGCACUUCGGGAUAAGUCUGGGAAACUGGGUCUAAUACCGGAUAGGACGAUGUGUUGCAUGCCAUUGUGGAAAGUUUUUCGGUGGGGGAUGGGCUCGCGGCCUAUCAGCUUGUUGGUGGGGUAAUGGCCUACCAAGGCGUCGACGGGUAGCCGGCCUGGGAGGGUGACCGGCCACAUUGGGACUGAGAUACGGCCCAGACUCCUACGGGAGGAAGCAGUGGGGAAUAUUGCACAAUGGGCGGAAGCCUGAUGCAGCGACGCCGCGUGGGGGAUGACGGCCUUCGGGUUGUAAACUGCUUUCGCUAGGGACGAAGCGCAAGUGACGGUACCUGGAGAAGAAGCACCGGCUAACUACGUG